rnacentral:rRNA from 1 species
AUUGAACGCUGGCGGCAGGCCUAACACAUGCAAGUCGAGCGAGUGGCGGACGGGUGAGUAAUGUAUGGGGAUCUGCCCGAUAGAGGGGGCUAACUACUGGAAACGGUGGCUAAUACCGCAUACUAUCGGAUGUACCCAUAUGGGAUUAGCUAGUAGGUGGGGUAAAGGCUCACCUAGGCGACGAUCUCUCGCUGGUCUGAGAGGAUGACCAGCCACACUGGGACGGAGACACGGUCCAGACUCCUACGGGAGGCAGCAGUGGGGAAUAGUGCACAAUGGGGGCAAGCCUGAUGCAGCCAUGCCGCGUGGAUGAAGAAGGCCUUAGGGUUGUAAAGUACUUUCAGCGGGGAGGCGUUACCCGCAGAAGAAGCACCGGCUAACUACGUGCCAGCAGCCGCGGUAAUUC